AGCUAAAAUGGAUAACUACCUCUAUGAAGAGCAGUGUAAACACAUGUGGCAGCUACAGUUGGUUGUCUACAAAACAUCCAAUCGCUUCCUUCCUUCUGUCUGGGUUUCGUUCAGCAUUCCCUCCCUCCAUUAGCCAUGCACAGCAAGGUGCAUCUCCAGAGGGUAGACAUUGCUUGCUCCAAGUCAAUUAUGCUGUUUCUGUACCCCUUCCUGACCAGCUAGGGCACAGCAAUGUGCUGCAAUUCUAGCCAAUAACACACAAGGGAGGGCUUCUUAGGAGCUUGAAGGAGUAAAUUUUUUACUCUUACAAAAGAGACACUGAGGAAGUGGCCUUUCGGUAUUGUCACGUCUGGAUGUGGUAUUCAGAGCUGUUGCAUUCAUCUUGUGAGCCUGAGGUGAGCCAGACAAAAUGACAGAGGGCAGACAGAGCCCAGAUAAUCUCCGAGAAGUGGA
rnacentral:lncRNA from 1 species